AUUGAUACGAGUCACAAAAGCCCAAAUUCUUGAAGGCGAGGCCCAAUAAGCAAAUUCCCAGCCCAAUCAAGAAAUCCAUCCAUACUUAGUUGAAAAUCAGGCCAAAUUGUCAAAGUGGCCCAAGUUGUAAAGUUUUAUUUUUAUUUUUAUUUAUUUAUUUAUUUAUUUACUUAGUUUAAAUUUUUAUGUCAAUAUUCAGUCCAAGAGUCCCAGAUAAAAUGACCUUUGACCGAAUUUCCAUAUUAAAAUAAUUAGGAGUUUUUUUAUUUUAGUUUUCUAAUUAGAUUAGGACUAGUUAUAAUGCCUAUUUAAAGGCAUGGCUGUCCACCUUGUUAAACACUUAUCAUUAUUAUUAAAAUUUCAGAUUUGUU
rnacentral:lncRNA from 1 species